GUGGCCGAAGCCGAAGUGGUCGAGGUUCUUGGUUGUGAUCCAAGAGGAAGCGAGUUCGAGUCUCGUCGGUCACCCCA
rnacentral:tRNA from 4 species